UACGUAGGGUGCAAGCGUUGUCCGGAAUUAUUGGGCGUAAAGAGCUCGUAGGCGGUGUGUCACGUCGUUCGUGAAAACCUGCAGCUUAACUGUGGGCGUGCGGUCGAUACGGGCAUCACUGGAGUUCGGCAGGGGAGACUGGAAUUCCUGGUGUAGCGGUGAAAUGCGCAGAUAUCAGGAGGAACACCGGUGGCGAAGGCGGGUCUCUGGGCCGAUACUGACGCUGAGACGCGAAAGCGUGGGGAGCGAACAGG
rnacentral:rRNA from 1 species